GUUUUAAAUAAUCUUUGGGGCUCUUUUCUAAACAAGAAGAAGAUUGUGAUAGCUUUUGGGAGUUUAUCGAAGAGCGACCCAUUUUUCUUUUCUGUCUUAUUUGAAUUGGUCUCAUUCUACAAAUUGGUGGUUGAAAAGAAAAAUAAAAAAAAAGUGUAAUUUUCCAUGAAAUGGAUUUGCCGUUGUGUGAAAUGAAAAUUUUUUACAUGGGGGAGCGGGUUGGAGAGAGCACCGCGGCGAUUUACAUUCGAUAUGAAAUAAAAAAGAGUUGCUGCUGUGUUGAAGUUUUUAUUUAGAGUUCCAGAAGAACCCCGAACGUGAUGAUGAAUUUAGAUGAUGGCGAUGGCGACGGACGACGACGACGAGUUGCUGCUGGAAACGAAC